UCCUACGGGGGCAGCAGUGGGGGAUAUUGCACAAUGGGGGAAACCCUGAUGCAGCGACGCCGCGUGAGUGAAGAAGUAUUUCGGUACGUAAAGCUCUGUCAGCAGGGAAGAAUAAUGACGGUACCUGACUAAGAAGCCCCGGCUAACUACGUGCCAGCAGCCGCGGUAAUACGUAGGGGGCAAGCGUUAUCCGGAUUUACUGGGUGUAAAGGGAGCGUAGACGGCUGUGCAAGUCUGAAGUGAAGUGCCG
rnacentral:rRNA from 1 species